rnacentral:rRNA from 1 species
GACGAACGCUGGCGGCGUGCUUAACACAUGCAAGUCGAACGGAAAGGCCCUGCUUUUGUGGGGUGCUCGAGUGGCGAACGGGUGAGUAACACGUGAGUAACCUGCCCUUGACUUUGGGAUAACUUCAGGAAACUGGGGCUAAUACCGGAUAGGAGCUCCUGCUGCAUGGUGGGGGUUGGAAAGUUUCGGCGGUUGGGGAUGGACUCGCGGCUUGUCAGCUUGUUGGUGGGGUAGUGGCUUACCAAGGCUUUGACGGGUAGCCGGCCUGAGAGGGUGACCGGCCACAUUGGGACUGAGAUACGGCCCAGACUCCUACGGGAGGCAGCAGUGGGGAAUAGUGCACAAUGGGCGGAAGCCUGAUGCAGCAACGCCGCGUGCGGGAUGACGGCCUUCGGGUUGUAAACCGCUUUCGCCUGUGACGAAGCGUGAGUGACGGUAAUGGGUAAAGAAGCACCGGCUAACUACGUG